rnacentral:lncRNA from 1 species
CUUUGGAGCAUAAAGUAUCACACUUGAAGUGUGACAAGAUCUGGCCUAUGUUUUAAAAGUAUCACUCUAGCUGCUAUAUUGAAAACAGAUGAGGAGACAGCCAGAGCAAUGGACGAAGAUAGAGGCACUGAAGCCAACUGGGAAACUACCACAAUAAUCCAGGAUGCCGGUGACAUGAACUAAGGUGGGUGAGAGGAUGAAUCAAGGCUGGCCAGACACAUUCAGAGGAUGUGCCUAUGUUCUGGAAACUUUGAAAACUACUCCUUUCACAUACUAGAAGCAUGGAAGAUCCAGCUGCCCUCUAAGGCCUCAAGUCAAUCGUCCCUUAUCCACCAAAAUGACUAAAUACCAUCUGACACUUUCCUUCUCUCCUGCUUGAGUCUGAAGACACAUUUGGAGUCUCUUGCCACCAGCAGAAUGACAACCCUUGUAGGUCUGUCGGGAAACCUGCAAGAAACCUGAGAUGGGAAAAGGUCAAGAACUGAAAACCAAUUGAAAAACCAUAUUGUGAGCAAACUUCUGUCUAAGGAGAAGGGAGAAAAAGGGAGGGCCGUGACCAGGGACAGACAGGAGCAAAGGCACCCCCAGCUCCCUCAAUUCCAGAGUGCUUGGGCAUCCUGCAGCAAUCUAGGAGCUCUUUGAUUGCCUCUUUUAAAUCUGCGUCAAGUGAUGCUGAGAACAUAUAUUCUUUGCUGAUAAAUGUUUCCCCUUUGAGCCUGGGGCCUACUUAACAGGUACAACCUGCUUCGUUGGCUUUUCAAUUUGGCCUCUUUAACUUAAGCUCAAAAGCUGGCAGGGGGUGACUCAUACCAAAGUGAAACUUGGCUUUUUAGUUCAAUUUCCUCCAGCCACUUGUUAUCGAGCGCCUACUAGCGCUGCAUACUCUGCUAAGUUGGUGCAAGGAUACAACUUAAAAGAAAAUAUGACUUGUUUCCAUGGAGCUCAUAGUCUAAGUUAGUCCGUUCUCAACCAAGGGUAAGGGGGUGAUUUUACCCCCCUGGGGGACAUUUAGCAAUGUCUGUGGACAUUUUUAAUUGUGACUGCUAAGGGAGAGUGCUACUGCUAUCUAGUGGGUAGAGGCCAGGGCUGCUGAUAAACAUCUUACAGUGCACAAGACUGCCUCCAACCACAAACAGUUAUCCCAUCUAAAAUGGCAGUAGUGCCAAGAUUGAGAAAGUCUGGUCUAAGGCAUAGCACAGCACAGGUACAAAUAAGUAACACAAAGACAGAAAGUAGGCUGUGAUAAGCAGCAGUCCACAUUUCCAGGAAUCCUCCAAGUUGUAGAAAGACAACAUCUUAGGUUCAGCAGCUAGACCCAACCAGCAGCAAUUCCAGGCAGUCCUGAGAACUGUACUCUACAGAACAAAGCCUAGCAAGUUCCUUCGUGGGUCCCUGUAUACCUGUAUACAUCCUUCUUGAGGUAUUUACUGGGACACGUGCAUGGAAAGAUGUGGAAGAUACAUUUUAGAUUUAGAUUGAAGGAGAGAAAGAGUCAUCGCCUAUAUUCCUAUCACUCACAUUCCAUCUAUCCACGUUCAUACAUAAAUCAUGGAGGAUACGCAGCUCCAGAGCCACCUUGCAUCAAAAUGGAGUCAGAUUAAAGGGUUCACCAGGUAGCACUAUAUACCUCAUUUAUGUGCCCUUAAAAAACUUAGGGAGAUUCAUUCAAGUAUGGUAUGGCUUAAAAUGACCAAGUAAAAUCUGAACCACAUGCUUUCAUUUAAAUACAGAUGGUCAGGUUUUGUUUAUGUAUACAGAGCCAACUGCUUAUACAAAGCAGUGCCCUAUACAUAUAAACCAGCAAAGCCAUUUUAGAACCCAGAGUUUGAAAGAGUCUAUAUAAAUGUAAAUUACCAACCAAAGGGAGCAUAAAAUCUAUGGAUGUGAAAACGAGGCUACUAUCUUUCCUCAUCCAGCUCCCAUUGGCCAGCAUGGGCUCACACAGUGUUCUUUCAUUUGGGGAGUCUCUGGAGCAUGGAUUUAGCUGGGUUUCUGUGCCAGCGCUUCAGCUGGCAGUGAUUGGGUGACCUGUGUUUCCUCGGUGGUUGUUUGUCAUUGUCAGGGGGGCUUCCAGAUUUUACAGAGUCACUGAGGUCUUCACACAUCUGACUUGUCAUCCCAGCACUAUUUUGAUCCCUUGGAUUCUCCAGCAGGCAUCUUCCAGGAAAAUUCUGGGAGUGUCUUGGCCCAAUAUUUCAGUCUAAUGGCUAGGAGUAAGCUAGCUUUAUCCAAGGCCAGAGCUGAGCUCUAGUUGGGGAUAAAAUGCUACUGAAAGCUGUAUUAACUCUUGUACGCCACUAAUGUGUUUCAUUUGGGACCCUGCAGUAGCCAUUCACUAAAUGGGAUUCUGAGGCAUGAAAAAAGCUAAAGUGAGCUGCUCCCAACUUGUCAUUCUCAACAAGGGAGGAUGUGGCUCACAAUGGGGGAGGGGAUUGGUUGAAUAAGAGGGAAUGUCUGCAGACUGCUUGGAGAUCCACGCAGGAAGAACCCAGAGAAGAGCAAUCUAGCUAAAUGAAAUUGUUUUCUUUCUUUCCAACCACGGUAUAUUAAUUGGGCACAAAUCGGUCCACUUAAUGCCAAUUGACAUGAAGCAAUUUCCCAUUUGAUGGCAAUUGAAAACCCAUGCUUGCUGCCCCAAACCUGCUUGAUUGUUCCAAACAGAUUUCCCAUCCUAAAGUGGAAAUGGAUUUAAUUUGAUCUCUUCAGUCUGUUCGCCAUUAUGUGUGAAACAGUGGUAUUAGUAGCCAGGAAAUCAGCAGCUACCUGAGCAGUGGAGUGUUCAAAAUGGAGGCAUUCCAGCUGCUAGUGAAAAUUCAAAGGAAAGAGUCAUGCUAUAGUUGUGAUGGCUAGAGACCUGGGAUAGCAUAGCUGUUCUUUGUUGUUGUUGCAGCUGUCUCAUUGUUUUGAUUUGUCUUUUUCUUUUUUUUUUCUUUGCUGUUUCCUUAAGACUAGAGAAGCUUAAAGCUAAGGAGAGUCCUAGACAGCUACCUUGUCCAGUUGUCACUUCAAUGAGGAAACCCAGGCCUAACGAAGUUUUGUGACCUGCCUCAAUAAUAAUCUGCCCACUCUUUCUCACUCCUAUGUCUUUUUUAUUCUCAUGCAUUCCUUGCUCUCACUUCCAAGAAUUCUAGCUCAGAGCUCUAUCAGUGGAGAGGUAAUGGAAAGAAUAUAUGGUCUUAUAACUGAAAGUCUUGAGUUCAAGGGAUGUACCUGAGUCAUGUGACUUCUCAGGGCUUUGGUUCCCUUAUCAAUGAAAAGGAAAUACAGAUCCAUGCUUCCCAGUGUUUUUGCAACAAUCGAAUGAAAUAACUUAUGUAAAAGCAGUUUACAAAUUACACAGGAUCAUGAGAUGUAAAACAUUAUCCUACCAAAGCCCAAAGCCCCUCCUAGACAGGAGACAGGCCAAAUGGGUCAAAGGUUGGAAGCCAGGCAAGAAACAAGCUUUGAUCAAGUGACUGUAAGAAUCACGAGAGUACCAGUAGUACUCUCCACUCAUACCUCAAAUCAGAGAAAGAUUAGGGAUUAAAAAGCUGAAAAUAUUUGCAGAUGUUUGGCAUGGCUGUGGUUAGCCUUUUGACUUUUGGAACAAAUAACAUCUAGUGAUAUUUGUUUCACUUGUUUUUCUUUUAACUAAGUUGUCAGCCUAUUAUUUGAAAACUUUUUCCAUUCUAAAGCUCUAUUUUGUACAGAGAUAUCUAAUCACUUAUCUGAACAAAGAUGCAAACAUGGCCAUAUGGCCUUUGCCCUGUCAGAGAAAUCAGUGAAAUCAGAAAAAUCAGAGAGGCUUAUCCUAUAUUCUACUGGUAAUAUACCCAAGUGUUUUAUAAAAGUGUUUAUAGAAAUAUGUGCCCUUGGUGUUUUCACAAGUACAAGCAUAAAUGAAACAAGAUAUAGGCAGAUCAUCAUAGAUGAAGCUCUGGGCUAGGAGACACAAAGUGUUGCUUCCUGGUAGCUGUGUGACCUAGGGCAAGUCACUUCACCUCUCUGAGCUUCUGAGAGAUGAACAGGGGUACAAAAUGGGGAUAUGACAAUAUCAACCCCAGGAUUAAGCGAGAUGACAUCAUCCAGGUCUCAGCUCAAAUACCGCCUGUUCAGAGAGGCUAUAGUGCAUGCUGUGGUGGGUCACACAGAUCCCCCCUAUGAGGACUGAAGCAUCAUUUGCCUAGCUGCUGUGAGUGUUGGAAGCUGGAUCCCCUUCAUAGAUUGCCCUAAGCUGCCCAUCUCGCCCAAAAUCUUCCCACCAAAGGCAGCACACAUACAAUAGUGGCAAAUAAGAGGGUCUAAAGGCCAACUCCCCAGCCCCAACUCAAGAUACACUGUAGGACUACCCCAGCUUCAAGGCUUUCUGUGGUGUUGGAGGCUGAGGUUUUGCUGUGACUAUGUAAUAGCCCAACUUCUGUUUCUGCCCAAUCCUAUUUCCUGUACAUAUGCUCCUAGACUUAUAACAGGGUUACAUCCUGAUAAACUCAUCACAAGUUGAAAAUAUCAAGUUAAAAAUGCAUUUAAUACUCCUAACCUACCAAACAUCAUAGCUUAGCCCAGCCUACCUUAAACAUGCUCAGAACGCUUACAUUAGCCUAUGGUCGGGCAAAAACAUGUAACACAAAGCCUAUUUUAUAACAAGGUGUUGAAUAUCUCAUGUAAUUUAUUGAAUACUACACUGAAAGUGAGAAACAGAAUGGUUGCAUGUGCACUCGUAGUGCAGUUUCUACUGAAUAUAUAUCACUUUCACACCAUCUUAAAGUCAAAAAAUUGUUAAGUUUAGCCAUCUUUUUUUUUUAAUGGGUAAUUUUCUUUUUUUUAUUAUUAUUAUACUUUAAGUUUUAGGGUACAUGUGCACAAUGUGCAGGUUAGUUACAUAUGUAUACAUGUGCCAUGCUGGUGUGCUGCACCCAUUAACUCAUCAUUUAGCAUUAGGUAUAUCUCCUAAAGCUAUCCCUCCCCCCUCCCCCCACGCCACAACAGUCCCCAGAGUGUGAUGUUCCCCUUCCUGUGUCCAUGUGUUCUCAUUGUUCGAUUCCCACCUAUGAGUGAGAAUAUGCGGUGUUUGGUUUUUUGUUCUUGUGAUAGUUUACUGAGAAUGAUGAUUUCCAAUUUCAUCCAUGUCCCUACAAAGGACAUGAACUCAUCAUUUUUUAUGGCUACAUAGUAUUCCAUGGUGUAUAUGUGCCACAUUUUCUUAAUCCAGUCUAUCUUUGUUGGACAUUUGGGUUGGUUCCAAGUCUUUGCUGUUGUGAAUAGUGCCACAAUAAACAUACGUGUGCAUGUGUCUUUAUAGCAGCAUGAUUUAUAGUCCUUUGGGUAUAUACCCAGUAAUGGGAUGGCUGGGUCAAAUGGUAUUUCUAGUUCUAGAUCCCUGAGGAAUCGCCACACUGACUUCCACAAGGGUUAAACUAGUUUACAGUCCCACCAACAGUGUAAAAGUGUUCCUAUUUCUCCACAUCCUCUCCAG